AUUGAACGCUGGCGGCAGGCCUAACACAUGCAAGUCGAACGAGUGGCGGACGGGUGAGUAAUGUCUGGGAAACUGCCUGAUGGAGGGGGAUAACUACUGGAAACGGUAGCUAAUACCGCAUACCAUCGGAUGUGUCCAGAUGGGAUUAGCUAGUAGGUGGGGUAACGGCUCACCUAGGCGACGAUCCCUAGCUGGUCUGAGAGGAUGACCGGGCACACUGAAACUGAGACACGUUCCAGACUCGUACGGGGGGGAGAAGUGGGGAAUAUUGCACAAUGGACGAAAGUCUGAUGCAGCGACGUCGUGUGGGGGCUGAAGGCUUUCGGGUUGUAAACUCCUUUCGCCCGCGGAAUGGUAGUGGGUAAAGAAGCGCCGGCUAACUACGUGCCAGCAGCCGCGGUAAUAC
rnacentral:rRNA from 1 species